rnacentral:tRNA from 1 species
AAGUAAGAAGCGAAUAUUGCAAUCAGUUUCGACCUGAUCACCUUGAUGUUAAAUCAUCCUUACUUA